rnacentral:rRNA from 1 species
UACAGAGGGUGCGAGCGUUAAUCGGAAUUACUGGGCGUAAAGCGCACGUAGGCGGAUUGUUAAGUCAGGGGUGAAAUCCCGAGGCUCAACCUCGGAACUGCCUUUGAUACUGGCAAUCUCGAGUCCGGAAGAGGUGAGUGGAAUUCCUAGUGUAGAGGUGAAAUUCGUAGAUAUUAGGAAGAACACCAGUGGCGAAGGCGGCUCACUGGUCCGGUACUGACGCUGAGGUGCGAAAGCGUGGGGAGCAAACAGG